GACGAACGCUGGCGGCCUGUCUAAUACAUGCAAGUCGAACGCAUUUUCUUUCACCGUAGCUUGCUACACCGAAAGAAAAUGAGUGGCGAACGGGUGAGUAACACGUGGGUAACCUGCCUCAUAGAGUGGAAUAGCCUUCCGAAAGGAAGAUUAAUACCGCAUAAGGGUGAGGGAUGGCAUCAUCAUUCAACCAAAGGAGCAAUCCGCUAUGAGAUGGACCCGCGGCGCAUUAGCUAGUUGGUGGGGUAACGGCCUACCAAGGCGACGAUGCGUAGCCGACCUGAGAGGGUGAUCGGCCACAUUGGGACUGAGACACGGCCCAGACUCCUACGGGAGGCAGCAGUGGGGAAUAUUGCACAAUGGGGGAAACCCUGAUGCAGCAACGCCGCGUGAGUGAUGAAGGUUUUCGGAUCGUAAAGCUCUGUCUUUGGGGAAGAUAAUGACGGUACCCAAGGAGGAAGCCACGGCUAACUACGUGCCAGCAGCCGCGGUAAUACGUAGGUGGCGAGCGUUAUCCGGAUUUACUGGGCGUAAAGGGAGCGUAGGCGGAUGAUUAAGUGGGAUGUGAAAUACCCGGGCUCAACUUGGGUGCUGCAUUCCAAACUGGUUAUCUAGAGUGCAGGAGAGGAGAGUGGAAUUCCUAGUGUAGCGGUGAAAUGCGUAGAGAUUAGGAAGAACACCAGUGGCGAAGGCGACUCUCUGGACUGUAACUGACGCUGAGGCUCGAAAGCGUGNGGAGCAAACAGG
rnacentral:rRNA from 1 species